UCCAUUCUGAUCUUUCAUCCUAUUCCCCAAAAUUUUCUGCCAUAUAUUUAAUGAUAAAGGCCUGCUAGAUUCUCGUACUCAUCACUGUAUCCCUCCCACCUUUAAUGUUGGUUGUGAUGACAGACUGACCUGUAGCUAAGCCCAAGGUCUAGGUUAGGUCGAAAACUUGCGUGUUUUAAGAUUGAUGAUGUGCACGUCAAAACAGUGGAAUGUACUGAUCUUACUGUUACAGGUUGAAAUUGGAAAUUGUACUAACGGAAAAUUUUGAGAUACAGACAAAAGUUUAGCUGAGUAUUGUACUGUUGCAAAAAAUAUCCGCCUUUUGAAUACAGCUGUUAAACAUUUGCACGAGAUGCGAGAGCCUUCUGUUGCAUGCCGUGAGCCACAGCCACAGCCCCAGCAUCAAGAGCGGCCUCCCACAAAAAGAAGGAAAGGCACAACAGACGUCAUUGUGGAGGCCACCGGGACAUUGAAGGCUGUGGCUGAUAUGGCCGGAACUGUGCCCCAGCCUGUCCGAGGAGACCAAUACAGUGCCCUUGCCACCCACAUCGCAGCUGAACUGCGUGAGAUGGAUAAUGUGGGUAGUAAGAUAUUUACAACUGCUGCAAGUCACGGUUUGCAGUGGUAUUUGAUGGACAGGUGGGAUUUGCUGCAUUUGACAACACAAGAAGCACGACCAUCCACCUCUGGGUAUAUCCAGGCUGCCUUGCAGCAGGCUGGUAUAGAAGAGAAUACCGUAUAAUUUUUUUGUAGCUCUCCAAUCUUCUUAAUUUAUUUUUGUACUCAGGAUGCCUCAUGUUGUAAAACACCUAAUCGGCCUCAUACAUCUCUAUUAAUUUUGUAGUUUCGGACACCAAUUGGUACAUGCUGUGUUAAUAAAAUAAAAUGAAAUAA